GUCGAGGGGUAACAUUGCAGCUUGCUGCAGAUGACGACCGGCGCACGGGUGCGUAACGCGUAUGAAACCUGCCUUAUACAGGGGGAUAGCCCGAAGAAAUUCGGAUUAAUACCCCAUAAGAUAUAUAAGUGGCAUCACUAAUAUAUUAAAACUCCGGUGGUAUAAGAUGGUCAUGCGUGACAUUAGCUAGUUGGUGAGGUAAAGGCUCACCAAGGCAACGAUGUCUAGGGGUUCUGAGAGGAAGGUCCCCCACACUGGUACUGAGACACGGACCAGACUCCUACGGGAGGCAGCAGUGAGGAAUAUUGGUCAACGGACGGAAGUCUGAACCAGCCAUGUCGCGUGAAGGAAGACUGCCCUAUGGGUUGUAAACUUCUUUUAUAUGGGAAGAACUGUAUCUACGUGUAGAUACUUGCCGGUACCAUAUGAAUAAGCAUCGGCUAACUCCGUGCCAGCAGCCGCGGUAAUACGGA
rnacentral:rRNA from 1 species